rnacentral:lncRNA from 1 species
ACUUAACUAAGAAAUGGGACCAAUAACUGUUAGGUGAGGUCUUCAUGGCUUAGAGACCAAGUUACACUGCAACAUGCUUGAGAAGCAUUGUACAAGAGUUGUACAUUCAUCAAUCUAUGUGUGACCAAUAACUGUUAGGUGAGGUGGCAUGUAAAUCGGUGGGACCGCAGUACCCACUAGAAACCCUAGUCGUGUGGGAUUUCCAUUUUCCUA